rnacentral:rRNA from 1 species
GCUCAGAACUUAAUGAAUUGACGGGGCCCGCACAAGCGGUGGAGCAUGUGGUUUAAUUCGAUGAUACGCGAGGAACCUUACCUGGGCUCAAAUGUAUGUUGACGUAUUCUGAAAGGGAUACUUCUUCGGACAAUAUACAAGGUGCUGCAUGGUUGUCGUCAGCUCGUGCCGUGAGGUGUCGGGUUAAGUCCCAUAACGAGCGCAACCCCUAUCAUUAGUUGCCAUCAGGUCAAGCUGGGGACUCUAAUGAAACUGCCUACGCAAGUAGUGAGGAAGGUGGGGAUGACGUCAAAUCAGCACGGCCCUUACGUCCAGGGCUACACACGUGCUACAAUGGCCGGUACAAAGGGCAGCUACCUGGUGACAGGAUGCUAAUCUCAAAAGCCGGUCUCAGUUCGGAUCGGAGUCUGCAACCCGACCCCGUGAAGCUGGAAUCGCUAGUAAUCGCGCAUCAGCCAUGGCGCGGUGAAUACGUUCCCGGGCCUU